rnacentral:rRNA from 1 species
GCACAAUGGGCGCAAGCCUGAUGCAGGGACGGCGCGUGAGGGAUGAAGGCCUUCGGGUUGUAAACCUUCUUCAGUAGGGAAGAAGCGAAAGUGACGGUACCUGCAGAAGAAGCGCCGGCUAACUACGUGCCAGCAGCCGCGGUAAUACGUAGGGCGCAAGCGUUAUCCGGAAUUAUUGGGCGUAAAGAGCUCGUAGGCGGUUUGUCGCGUCUGCCGUGAAAGUCCGGGGCUUAACUCCGGAUCUGCGGUGGGUACGGGCAGACUUGAGUGAUGUAGGGGAGACUGGAAUUCCUGGUGUAGCGGUGAAAUGCGCAGAUAUCAGGAGGAACACCGAUGGCGAAGGCAGGUCUCUGGGCAUUAACUGACGCUGAGGAGCGAAAGCAUGGGGAGCGAACAGGAUUAGAUACCCUGGUAGUCCAUGCCGUAAACGUUGGGCACUAGGUGUGGGGGACAUUCCACGUUUUCCGCGCCGUAGCUAACGCAUUAAGUGCCCCGCCUGGGGAGUACGGCCGCAAGGCUAAAACUCAAAGGAAUUGACGGGGGCCCGCACAAGCGGCGGAGCAUGCGGAUUAAUUCGAUGCAACGCGAAGAACCUUACCAAGGCUUGACAUGAACCGGAACGGCGCAGAGAUGUGUCGGCCACUUGUGGCCGGUUUACAGGUGGUGCAUGGUUGUCGUCAGCUCGUGUCGUGAGAUGUUGGGUUAAGUCCCGCAACGAGCGCAACCCUCGUUCCAUGUUGCCAGCGGGUUAUGCCGGGGACUCAUGGGAGACUGCCGGGGUCAACUCGGAGGAAGGUGGGGACGACGUCAAAUCAUCAUGCCCCUUAUGUCUUGGGCUUCACGCAUGCUACAAUGGCCGGUACAAAGGGUUGCGAUGCUGUGAGGUGGAGCUAAUCCCAAAAAGCCGGUCUCAGUUCGGAUUGAGGUCUGCAACUCGACCUCAUGAAGUCGGAGUCGCUAGUAAUCGCAGAUCAGCAACGCUGCGGUGAAUACGUUCCCGGGCCUUGUACACACCCCCCUUCAGGUCACGAAAGUUGGUAACACCCCGAAGCCGGUGGCCUAACC